ensembl:lncRNA
CCAGUGCCGGGUUUCUUAACAGGCAGAAGAGGCGUAUUUUAAGGCGACCGGCAGGGGAUUAGGAUGUCUUGAUCUAGAAGCCUCGUAAUGUGAGGCCUUAUACCUUGAUAAGCUUCAUGUGACAGGGGGUAUUGUUUUAUGGAGACUGGAGUUGUAGUGGCCUUUAAUUGUAUAAUUAAGGGGGGCUGUUGGAGCGCCAACCCCAACCCACCAGUCUCUGCCCAAGCCAGUGGAAAAUUCGUGACCCAAGUGUCUAUUUCUAGGGAUUGUGGCUUGUCCUGUCCCAGUUCAUAUAGUCUAUAUUCAUAGAACUUGAAGGGGAGUUCCGUGGGGGCCAGUUAUUUGGGCCCCUCUUUCCUCAAAAUGAAUUUGUGCUUUUAGUUUGGUGAGCAGGUCACGGCCCAGCAGAGGGUACGGGCAGUCCGGAACAUGUAAGAAGGAAUGGGUCACCUUACCGGUAGCCAGCUGAACCCGGCGGUCCGUAGUCCAUCGGUAUUGUUUCUCAUCAGUAGCUCUUUGUACCCAGGCCGUCCGGUCGCUGAGUUGUCCUGAAGCUUGGGUGAGGACUGAAUGCUGGGCUCCUGUGUCUACCAGGAAAGUAACCGGCUGCCCCCCAACUUUAAGCAUUACCCUGGGCUCAGGGGUGGGGGGCUCCUGGCCAUGACCUCCCUAAUCUUUAUCUAGAGCCAAGAGGGAGGUUCGUGGUCGAGGCUUUCGGGGUCCACCAGGCUUCUUGGGGCACUCUCUGGCCCAGUGCCCUUUCUCUUUGUAAUAGGCACAUUGAUCUUUAUCCAGCUUCAGCCCCUUUCGAGCUCCCCCCUAUCUCCCUUCCUUUCUUGGCCCUGUACUACGGCGGCCAAGAUUCGACUCAAUUCUUUGUUUUUUUUUUUUUUUUUAUCUCGCUCUUAUUAAAAAUCCUUUCAGCUUCUUUAAGUAAAUCCUGUAAUGUAUAGCCCUGUAAAUUUUUUAACCUCUGUAACUUAGUCCUGAUAUCUGGAGCAGCCUGCCAGGUGAAGGACAUAGAGACACUCGUCAUUUGUCCUGGGUCAUCUGGGUCAUAGGGAGUGUACAUACGGUAGGCCUCCUUAAGUCUCUCUAGAAAGGCGGAGGGAGUUUCCCCUGCUUCCUGUAAUACCUGUUUUACCUGAGCCAAAUUAGUAGGGCGUCGUAUAGCCCCUCAGAGACCUGCUAGAAGCAACUGGCGAUAAAGGCGUAGGUGUCCCUUACCUUCAGCUGUAUUAAAAUCCCAGUUUGGUCUCUUAAGUGGGAAUGCAGCAUCAAUUUUCUCAGGCAGCUGGGUGGGACGCCCAUCAUCUCCCAGAACAUGCUUUCUGGCCUCUAGGAACACUCUUUGUUUUUUUUCUGAGGUUAAGAGGGCCUGUAAGAGCUGUUGGCAGUCAUCCCAAGUAGGCUGGUGGGAGUCUCUACCUUGACUUCUUCCCACUGCGAAAAGAAGCUUCUCUGCCCAAGAUUAAGAGCAACACUAAGGGUUUAAGGAG